UUUUUUUUGUUUUUUUUCCCGUCAGGACGAACGCUGGCGGCGUGCUUAACACAUGCAAGUCGAACGAUGAAGCCGGAGCUUGCUCUGGUGGAUUAGUGGCGAACGGGUGAGUAACACGUGAGUAACCUGCCCUUGACUCUGGGAUAAGCGUUGGAAACGACGUCUAAUACCGGAUACGAGCUGGGACCGCAUGGUCACUAGCUGGAAAGAACUUCGGUCAAGGAUGGACUCGCGGCCUAUCAGCUUGUUGGUGAGGUAACGGCUCACCAAGGCGACGACGGGUAGCCGGCCUGAGAGGGUGACCGGCCACACUGGGACUGAGACACGGCCCAGACUCCUACGGGAGGCAGCAGUGGGGAAUAUUGCACAAUGGGCGCAAGCCUGAUGCAGCAACGCCGCGUGAGGGACGACGGCCUUCGGGUUGUAAACCUCUUUUAGCAGGGAAGAAGCGAAAGUGACGGUACCUGCAGAAAAAGCACCGGCUAACUACGUGCCAGCAGCCGCGGUAAUACGUAGGGUGCAAGCGUUGUCCGGAAUUAUUGGGCGUAAAGAGCUCGUAGGCGGUUUGUCGCGUCUGCUGUGAAAACGCGAGGCUCAACCUCGCGCCUGCAGUGGGUACGGGCAAACUAGAGUGCGGUAGGGGAGAUUGGAAUUCCUGGUGUAGCGGUGGAAUGCGCAGAUAUCAGGAGGAACACCGAUGGCGAAGGCAGAUCUCUGGGCCGUAACUGACGCUGAGGAGCGAAAGCAUGGGGAGCGAACAGGAUUAGAUACCCUGGUAGUCCAUGCCGUAAACGUUGGGAACUAGAUGUAGGGACCAUUCCACGGUUUCUGUGUCGCAGCUAACGCAUUAAGUUCCCCGCCUGGGGAGUACGGUCGCAAGACUAAAACUCAAAGGAAUUGACGGGGGCCCGCACAAGCGGCGGAGCAUGCGGAUUAAUUCGAUGCAACGCGAAGAACCUUACCAAGGCUUGACAUAUAGAGGAAACGUGCAGAAAUGUACGCCCCGCAAGGUCUCUAUACAGGUGGUGCAUGGUUGUCGUCAGCUCGUGUCGUGAGAUGUUGGGUUAAGUCCCGCAACGAGCGCAACCCUCGUCCUAUGUUGCCAGCACGUAAUGGUGGGAACUCAUGGGAGACUGCCGGGGUCAACUCGGAGGAAGGUGGGGAUGACGUCAAAUCAUCAUGCCCCUUAUGUCUUGGGCUUCACGCAUGCUACAAUGGCCGGUACAAAGGGCUGCAAUACCGCAAGGUGGAGCGAAUCCCAAAAAGCCGGUCUCAGUUCGGAUUGGGGUCUGCAACUCGACCCCAUGAAGUUGGAGUCGCUAGUAAUCGUGAAUCAGCAACGUCACGGUGAAUACGUUCCCGGGCCUUGUACACACCGCCCGUCAAGUCAUGAAAGUCGGUAACACCCGAAGCCAGUGGCCCAACCGCAAGGAGGGAGCUGUCGAAGGUGGGAUCGGUGAUGAAGACUAAGUCGUACAGGGGUAAACCAGAAAGUCCGCCGCGCAAGGUCUUCAGCCGGUGCUUUUUCCGGGUUGUCCCCCCCUUUUCGUCUUCGUCAGGGGAGAUAAAGUUCCACCACCGAGAGGGCCCUCCUCCCUAAGGUGGCAGUGCAUAAUGGGGGGUACCCC
rnacentral:rRNA from 1 species